GUGGGGAAUUUUGGACAAUGGGCGCAAGCCUGAUCCAGCAAUGCCGCGUGCAGGAAGAAGGCCUUCGGGUUGUAAACUGCUUUUGUACGGAACGAAACGGUCCUGGUUAAUACCUGGGGCUAAUGACGGUACCGUAAGAAUAAGCACCGGCUAACUACGUGCCAGCAGCCGCGGUAAUACGUAGGGUGCGAGCGUUAAUCGGAAUUACUGGGCGUAAAGCGUGCGCAGGCGGUGCUGUAAGACAGGCGUGAAAUCACCGGGCUCAACCUGGGAAUUGCGCUUGUGACUGCAGUGCUGGAGUACGGCAGAGGGGGAUGGAAUUCCGCGUGUAGCAGUGAAAUGCGUAGAUAUGCGGAGGAACACCGAUGGCGAAGGCAGUCCCCUGGGCCUGUACUGACGCUCAUGCACGAAAGCGUGGGGAGCAAACAGGAUUAGAAACCCCGGUAGUCC
rnacentral:rRNA from 1 species